rnacentral:rRNA from 1 species
GACGAACGCUGGCGGCGUGCCUAAUACAUGCAAGUCGACCUUAGUGGCGAACGGGUGAGUAACACGUGGGUAACCUGCCCAUCAGAAGGGGAUACCCUUUGGAACAAGGUGCUAUUACCGAAUAUGGAAGGAUGGACCCGCGGUGCAUUGGCUAGUUGGUGGGGUACGGGCGCACAAAGGCCACGAUGCAUAGCCGACCUGAGAGGGUGAUCGGCCACAUUGGGACUGAGACACGGCCCAAACUCCUACGGGAGGCAGCAGUAGGGAAUUGUCGGCAAUGGACGAAAGUCUUACCGAGCAACGCCGCGUGAGUGAAGAAGGUUUUCGGAUCGUAAAACUCUGUUGUUAGAGAAGCGGUAUCUAACCAGAAAGCCACGGCUAACUACGUGCCAGCAGCCGCGGUAAUUC